CUGUGUUCGAUCCACAG
rnacentral:misc_RNA from 2 species